rnacentral:rRNA from 1 species
UACGUAGGGGGCAAGCGUUGUCCGGAUUUAUUGGGCGUAAAGAGCGUGUAGGCGGCCAGGUAGGUCUGCUGUGAAAACUCGAGGCUCAACCUCGAGAUGUCGGCGGAAACCAUCUGGCUAGAGUCCGGAAGAGGAGAAUGGAAUUCCCGGUGUAGCGGUGAAAUGCGUAGAUAUCGUAAGGAAGACCAGUGGCGAAGGCGGGUCUCUGGACAGUUCCUGACGCUGAGGCACGAAGGCCAGGGGAGCAAACGGG